rnacentral:rRNA from 1 species
UACGUAGGGGGCGAGCGUUGUCCGGAUUCAUUGGGCGUAAAGCGCGCGUAGGCGGCUUCGUAAGUCGGCCGUGAAAUCUCCAGGCUUAACCUGGAGGGGUCGGGCGAGACUGCGGGGCUCGAGGUGGGCAGAGGGCAGUGGAAUUCCGGGUGUAGUGGUGGAAUGCGUAGAGAUCCGGAGGAACACCAGUGGCGAAGGCGGCUGCCUGGGCCUGGCCUGACGCUGAGGCGCGAAAGCGUGGGGAGCGAGCCGG